rnacentral:rRNA from 1 species
UACGUAGGGUCCGAGCGUUGUCCGGAAUUAUUGGGCGUAAAGAGCUCGUAGGCGGCUUGUCACGUCGGGUGUGAAAGCCCGGGGCUUAACCCCGGGUCUGCAUUCGAUACGGGCUAGCUAGAGUGUGGUAGGGGAGAUCGGAAUUCCUGGUGUAGCGGUGAAAUGCGCAGAUAUCAGGAGGAACACCGGUGGCGAAGGCGGAUCUCUGGGCCAUUACUGACGCUGAGGAGCGAAAGCGUGGGGAGCGAACAGG